GCUGCUUUACGACGAAUAGUAUACAAUCAGAAGCUAACAAACUGUGUGUAAACUGUUUUUGAUUAUGACACAUUAUGUAAACAGUCCAAAUGUUGUUCUCCUCUGUGCAGCAGUGUCAUCUUUACUAAGCCGCUCUGCCUCUGCGACUGACAUUAAACUGGCUUUCUCGGCUUCAUCGCAGCCGUCGUCGUCGUCACCAGGCGCGACACUCGCAAGUAUCCUCAGGCUGCGGCAGUCUGACGGCGAAGCCGAGGAACUCGGAGGAUGUUGGGCUACGACAUUACAACAGACGAAGCAAUCGUGCGUGGAUUUAGACAGUACGAGGCAGGCCGCUUUAGCGUUACGUUAUCUCAAUUGCCAGCUCCACCAGUUAGGGCUGCCAGAAAUCCGUUGUCCUGAUUUAGAUAAGUGUGCAACGUUCAAGGAGAUCUCUAAAUCGGCCUGGCUACUACCUGUAUUAGUUCAGUUUCACGUACAGGUGAUGUCAACGUGCGCAUUUCAAGAGUUACACAAUCAGCAAAAGCGGGUGGUGAAAGUGGCCCGGCAGAUCGCGGAGGCGAUUGAUGGCAUCUCGGCUGACAUCCGCCAGCUUCUCAUUGUUGGACAGAAGGUACGGUGGACUCUCGCGUCGACACUUCAAGGACAGCAUAGCCAGCUAGACUAUCAGGACUCUUAAUGCUCAGGCCAAGGUUGCUGACAGCCGUUGGAGAAGCUUGCCGCUUGCGCGACGUGGUCUGCGCAGUCGUCGGUUUCAAUGACGACAACUAACCGUAGGAUCACGGUCCUGAAGGCUACCAUACGGUCGAGUCGACACAACUCAUCGAGUCCAAGCUGAUGAUAAGCGCGGCGGGAACCUUCGGCCGAACACAAACGCAAAAUCGGAGCAAAUCUUGGAAAGAGGAAAAGUACGAGCGGAUACUGAUUGAUCCGCAAAAGACGAGAAAGACAUUCUUAGAGAUUUGGCCACGCAAAGGAUGAGCGGGAGGUUGAGCUGAGCUGGACUGGGCCAGCCUGAGCAAACCUCCGGCACAAGGCCACAGCUACUCAUAUCGUACUUAUGUAGCCGCUUAUAUUAUCGAUAGGCAGCCACGCGGUGCGGCCACUCACGUCAAAAUGCUUCUUCAGAUCAUCGAGGAGCGUAAAGACAUCUUGCUCUUGGAAGCUGUCGCCAUAGGCCCCGCCAUCCGAAACGCUCCCAACGAGUCCAAGGGUUAGCAGAGACGGCUAGCCAGCCAGCCAGCCAGCCAACGCCAAUCUACGGAAGCCAAACAUACGGAGGAUGAGUACGAUUGAAGAUAGGGGGAAGCGAAAGAGCUGACUCAUCUCAGUCGAUCGAAUGUGGGUUUGAGAACAGUUCUGAAGACGAACGGAUCGAGAUCUUGAUAGUACGGCGAUCUUCAGAUUAGUUUAUAGUCAUUUCAACAUAGCCUACAAAGCAAACGAAGACUAGCAGCAGCGAAAGCAACAGAACUGAAAAAACAAGUUUGCAGAAAUGUCGAGCGAAUUGGUGCUUUGGCAAAUAGUAUUAAGGCUCCUGCUGUAGGGAUACGAAAAUUGUUAUUCAGCUCAGGGACACGAGCUGAUCUAAAAUUGAAUGUUUUACUAACUGUCUUAAAAGAUUACUAAAAUUAGUUAAAGGAAGAUUAUGUCAAGAGACUUUCUACCGGAUAAGGGGACAGAAGAACGUCUUAACCUCAAUCAGCUGUGAAACACCGUAGAUUAUUUACAAAAUCAGUAGCCCUUCAAAGUUUUUGUUCGCUGCCAUAAGGAAAG